rnacentral:pre_miRNA from 1 species
UUAAUACUCCCUCCGUCCGGAAAUACUUGUCAUCAAAAUAGAUUAAAAUGGAUGUAUCUAGAACUAAAAUACAUCUAGAUACAUCCAUUACAAUGACAAGUAUUUCCGGACGGAGUGAGUACUUC